AGAGUUUGAUCCUGGCUCAGGACGAACGCUGGCGGCGUGCUUAAUGAAUGCGAGUCGAACGAGAACCAGAGGUAACCUUCGGGUAAUCUCUGGGGAGAGUGGCGAACUGGUGAGUAACACGUGGGUAACCUGCCUCUAAGACGGGAAUAACAGGAGGAAACUCCUGCUAAUACCCGAUAUUCCAGCCCUGCACAAGCGGGGUUGGGAAAGCUCCGGCGCUUAGGGAUGGGCCCGCGGUCGAUUAGCUAGUUGGUGGGGUAACGGCUCACCAAGGC
rnacentral:rRNA from 1 species